CUCCCUCACUGCUCAAGGGUGGUUAGUGCGUUUUGCUGCGAGGGACUCAUUUUCCUGCUGUUUUCACCCAGUCUGGUUAUAUCCGCUGCCAUCGUGCUUUUUAUGAAUCGGAGCCUAACAAUGCGAAGUAAAAAGGCAAAACCAAAGUUAAAUGAGAAUCCAGCUGCGAGCUCUGAAAGUGUCAAGAGGAUGUGAUAGAAGGAAGCUCUCAACGAUGCCAGUAUUUCCAAGAAAAAUGCUUCAUUUUCUCCUUCAUCUUGUUCAAAUUCCAGCCAAGACUCAUUUCAAGUUUCUGGUCUUGUGAUGCCUCCCUUCUCUCCAUUCCAUAUUUUUUGCUGUUCGUCUCCAUCAUAUUGACUGCUCAGAAUCUUUGCAGUUUUAUAAUUUCUAAAGUAAAAGUGCACAGCAUUCUUGGCGAUGUUGGGAAAAGAUUCCUGGGUCUUGGAAGAUAACACUCAAAAUCUACAGGGCUGCCUGAGUGCCACGCAACAUAACAUCUGGCGUUCUUGAGAGGGAAUGCUCCAUGCAAGAAAGGACAAGAUGGAAGCUUGUCUUUUAAGGAAUAAAAAUUACAGGGUGCUUUUCUUUGAAAACAUCGUCAGAUUUAUCUGAUCAAGAAUUCAUACAAAAUUCAUCAAAGAUUCAUAUGAUAUGGCAUUUUGAGAAAUACUAAGCGGACAAAUUCUUAUGACUACUUAAUGUUGACAUAUGACUUGGGAAUUGGUCAACAAAGAUGACAGGUCUGCAGAAAAUCAAAAAGUACAAAACUGGACAGUGAAAUUGGAUGUGGUGAGAAGAUUUGAAAAUGGUGAACAACAAAGCAAAGCUAGGAAGAGACCUCAACCUGCAUGAAGCUAUAGUACAAACCUUAUUUUAAGUGUGGUGAAUAUAAAAAAACAAGAUAAAGUUUAAAUUGUACUAGGGACAGAAGACAGCUUAUGGUUGAAAUGGAGUAUUUACUGCACUUGGGAUUAAUCAAAAAUAAAUCUCAAUUUGACCAGCAUUCAAGUCAAAGCAUUCAAGUUAGUUGCUAUGUUGAAGGAAAAUGGUUAUACAAGGAAAGUGAAAAAGAACAUUUUACUGCUGAUAAAGGCUGCAUUCAUCACUUCAGAAGUCAGUAUGAAUUGAUUAAUGUAAAGUUUGGUGAAAUUGCAAGCUCAGAUAAGGAUGCUACAGUGAAAUUUUCACUUAGAUACAACAACUACAGGCAGUCUUACUUUUUGCAUGUAAAAAAAAUUUCCCAGGAUUUAGGUGGAUUGUAAAUCAAGUUAAAGAAGAUACAUAUAGGUGACCAUGGAAUGUUAACACUGCUGCCAUUCAAGAAGCAGUUCUAGAUAGGCAGUCAGA